UACGAAGGGUGCAAACGUUGCUCGGAAUUAUUGGGCGUAAAGCGCACGUAGGCGGCUUAGCAAGUCGGAAGUGAAAUCCCUCGGCUCAACCAAGGAAGUGCUUUCGAAACUGCUGAGCUUGAGUACUUAAGAGGAUCGCGGAAUUCCCGGUGUAGAGGUGAAAUUCGUAGAUAUCGGGAGGAACACCAGUGGCGAAGGCGGCGAUCUGGGAAGAUACUGACGCUGAGGUGCGAAAGCGUGGGAGCAACAGG
rnacentral:rRNA from 1 species